rnacentral:rRNA from 1 species
CUACGGGGGGCAGCAGUCGAGAAUCUUCCGCAAUGGGCGCAAGCCUGACGGAGCAAUGCCGCGUGAGGGAUGACGGCCCUAGGGUUGUAAACCUCUGUCAGAAGGGACGAAGAACGUGACGGUACCUUCAGAGGAAGCCAUGGCUAACUACGUGCCAGCAGCCGCGGUAAUGCGUAGAUGGCGAGCGUUAUUCGGAUUUACGGGGCGUAAAGGGUCCGUAGGGGGUCUGCCAAGUCUGAUGUGAAAUCCUGCGGCUCAACCGCGGAACUGCAUUGGAAACUGGCGGACUAGAGUGUGCGGAGGGGUGAGCGGAAUUCCUGGUGUAGCGGUGGAAUGCGUAGAUAUCAGGAAGAACACCGAUGGCGAAGGCGGCUCACUGGCGCAUCACUGACCCUGAGGGACGAAAGCGUGGGUAGCAAACAGGAUUAGAUACCCUAGUAGUC